GACGAACGCUGGCGGCGUGCUUAACACAUGCAAGUCGAACGGAAAGGCCCUGCUGUUGUGCGGUGCUCGAGUGGCGAACGGGUGAGUAACACGUGAGUAACCUGCCCUUGACUUUGGGAUAACUUCAGGAAACUGGGGCUAAUACCGGAUAGGAGCUCCUGCUGCAUGUUGGGGGUUGGAAAGUUUCGGCGGUUGGGGAUGGACUCGCGGCUUGUCAGCUUGUUGGUGGGGUAGUGGCUUACCAAGGCUUUGACGGGUAGCAGGCCUGCGAGGGGAACCUGCCACAUUGGGACUGGGAUGCGGCCCAGACCCCUACGGUAGGCAGCAGUGGGGAAGAUUGCACAAUGCGCGGAAGCCUGAUGCAGCAACGCCGCGCGCGGGAUGACGGGCUUCGGGUUGUAAACCGCUUUCGCCUGGGACGAAGCGUGAGUGACGGUAAUGGGUAAAGAAGCACCGGCUAACUACGUG
rnacentral:rRNA from 1 species